GCUGUGGCCUUUUUUAUCAACGGCGCUUUACCAGUCUGGCCAUUAUGGAGUAUUGUUUGUAAUCAAGUUUUUGUUUUUUUUUUAACUUUAGCCUUUUCUUUUCAGUACAGUUUGGUUUUGUUUUUGUUCUUGUUGUUGUUUUUGGCCGCGCCAUGCGGCACCUGGGAUCUUAGUUCCCCCACCAGGGAUUGAACCCUUGCCCCCUGCAGUGGAAGUGCAGAGUCCUAACCACUAGACUGCCAGGAAAUUCCCAUUUCAGUACAGUUUAAACAAUGCAUUUACAAAUAUGCUAUAUAGCAAGUGUGUUUUGUACCAGACAAGCCUGUAGUCGAAGCCACAUGUUACAUCUUAUGUGUCAUUUCUUUUUUCUUAGGUUUUGGCAGCCCUUAGGCCACCUCUUUGCAACUUUUAAAAGGUGCCCAUUCCUCAAGAAAACCUGAGAUGUGUGUGACCCUGGGGCUGGCAUCUGGCACCUCUAGUCAUCCCGUCAUCCAAGGCAGCAUCUCCACCCUCCUGACCUGUUCUUGAAUAGGAAUCUCCGAGGUAAAAAGAUCUCCUGCAGGGUACAAAGCACAGGAC